rnacentral:rRNA from 1 species
AAAAGCGGGCUUCUGUUUACAUGCUCGCGCUCUAGGAUGGGUCCGCGGCCCAUCAGCUAGUUGGUAGGGUAACGGCCUACCAAGGCAACGACGGGUAGCUGGUCUGAGAGGAUGACCAGCCACACUGGAACUGAGACACGGUCCAGACUCCUACGGGAGGCAGCAGUGGGGAAUCUUGCGCAAUGGGCGAAAGCCUGACGCAGCGACGCCGCGUGGGUGACGAAGGCCUUCGGGGUUGUAAAGCCCUGUGGGGGGAGACGAACCGGGUCGUGGCUAAUAUCCAUGGUCCUUGACGGUAUCCCUUUAGCAAGCAUCGGCUAACUCUGUGCCAGCAGCCGCGGUAAGACAGAGGAUGCAAACGUUGCUCGGAAUUACUGGGCGUAAAGCGCGCGCAGGUGGUCCGGUAAGUCGGGUGUGAAAUCCCGGGGCUCAACCUCGGAAGUGCACUCGAUACUGCUAGACUUGAGUACUGGAGAGGAGAGCGGAAUUCCCGGUGUAGAGGUGAAAUUCGUAGAUAUCGG